CUGUAGCGUAAUGGAUAGCGGUUUGGACCUCUAAUCCAAAGGUCGUGGUUUCAAAAUCCACUUGAAAUGG